ACACAAUAAGUACUCCGCCUGGGAAGUACGAUCGCAAGAUUAAAACUCAAAGGAAUUGACGGGGGCCCGCACAAGCAGCGGAGCAUGUGGUUUAAUUCGAAGCAACGCGAAGAACCUUACCUGGACUUGACAUCCCCUGAAUAGUGCAGAGAUGCAUGAAGCCCUUCGGGGCAGGGAGACAGGUGGUGCAUGGUUGUCGUCAGCUCGUGUCGUGAGAUGUUAGGUUAAGUCCUGCAACGAGCGCAACCCCUAUCAUUAGUUGCUACGCAAGAGCACUCUAGGGAGACUGCCGGUGACAAACCGGAGGAAGGUGGGGAUGACGUCAAGUCCUCAUGGCCCUUAUGGGUAGGGCUUCACACGUCAUACAAUGGUCGGAACAGAGGGUCGCCAACCCGCGAGGGGGAGCCAAUCCCAGAAAACCGAUCGUA
rnacentral:rRNA from 1 species